rnacentral:rRNA from 1 species
ACUCCUACGGGAGGCAGCAGUGGGGAAUAUUGGACAAUGGGCGCAAGCCUGAUCCAGCCAUGCCGCGUGAGUGAUGAAGGCCCUAGGGUUGUAAAGCUCUUUCACCGGUGAAGAUAAUGACGGUAACCGGAGAAGAAGCCCCGGCUAACUUCGUGCCAGCAGCCGCGGUAAUACGAAGGGGGCUAGCGUUGUUCGGAUUUACUGGGCGUAAAGCGCACGUAGGCGGACUAUUAAGUCAGGGGUGAAAUCCCGGGGCUCAACCCCGGAACUGCCUUUGAUACUGGUAGUCUUGAGUUCGAGAGAGGUGGGUGGAAUUCCGAGUGUAGAGGGGAAAUUCGUAGAUAUUCGGAGGAACACCAGUGGCGAAGGCGGCUCACUGGCUCGAUACUGACGCUGAGGUGCGAAAGCGUGGGGAGCAAACAGGAUUAGAAACCCCUGUAGUCCCA